rnacentral:rRNA from 1 species
UCCGUAGGCGGGCGUCUAAGUCAGUGGUGAAAUCUUACAGCUCAACUGUAAAAUUGCCAUUGAUACUGGAUGUCUUGAAUUAGUGUGAAGUGGUUAGAAUGUGUAGUGUAGCGGUGAAAUGUAUAGAUAUUACACAGAAUACCAAUUGCGAAGGCAGAUCACUAACACUAUAUUGACGCUGAGGGACGAAAGCGUGGGGAGCGAACAGGAUUAGAUACCCUGGUAGUCC